rnacentral:rRNA from 1 species
GUGGGGAAUCUUGCGCAAUGGGCGAAAGCCUGACGCAGCCAUGCCGCGUGAAUGAUGAAGGUCUUAGGAUUGUAAAAUUCUUUCACCGGGGACGAUAAUGACGGUACCCGGAGAAGAAGCCCCGGCUAACUUCGUGCCAGCAGCCGCGGUAAUACGAAGGGGGCUAGCGUUGCUCGGAUUUACUGGGCGUAAAGGGCGCGUAGGCGGACAUUUAAGUCAGGGGUGAAAUCCCGGGGCUCAACCUCGGAACUGCCUUUGAUACUGGGUGUCUUGAGUAUGAGAGAGGUGUGUGGAACUCCGAGUGUAGAGGUGAAAUUCGUAGAUAUUCGGAAGAACACCAGUGGCGAAGGCGACACACUGGCUCAUUACUGACGCUGAGGCGCGAAAGCGUGGGGAGCAAACAGGAUUAGAUACCCUGGUAGUC